UACGGAGGGUGCGAGCGUUGUCCGGAAUCACUGGGCGUAAAGGGCUGGUAGGCGGCCAACUAAGUCGGAUGUGAAAUCCCCAGGCUUAACCUGGGAACUGCAUCCGAUACUGGUCGGCUUGAAUCCGGGAGAGGGAUGCAGAAUUCCAGGUGUAGCGGUGAAAUGCGUAGAUAUCUGGAGGAAUACCGGUGGCGAAGGCGGCAUCCUGGACCGGCAUUGACGCUGAACAGCGAAAGCUAGGGGAGCAAACGGG
rnacentral:rRNA from 1 species